AGAACGAACGCUGGCGGCAUGCCUAAUACAUGCAAGUCGAACGAACUCUUCGGAGUUAGUGGCGCACGGGUGCGUAACGCGUGGGAAUCUGCCCCUUGGUUCGGAAUAACAGUUGGAAACGACUGCUAAUACCGGAUGAUGACGAAAGUCCAAAGAUUUAUCGCCAAGGGAUGAGCCCGCGUAGGAUUAGCUAGUUGGUGAGGUAAAGGC
rnacentral:rRNA from 1 species